AAAAUGUGGAGGAGGAGACAGUUCAUUCCACAAACGUUUACUGAGCAUCUACUGUGUGCCUGGCCCUGUCCUAGGUGCUGAGGACACAGAGGUGAACCAGACAGAAAGCACCCUGCUCUCGGGCAGCCGGCGCUCUAGCCGUCAUUGAGCGCCAGCUGUGUCCCAGGCACUGUUGAAGGCAAGGGCCACUGGAGGGGGCAGACGACGGUGAGGAUGCUGCACACUGACUGCACGGGGCUCAGCGCUUUGGAAAGAAGAAACGGCACAGCAGGGCAGUGGAAAGAUGAACUGAGGGGCGACCUAUGAGCCACAAAGCAAAGGCUGUGACAGGAGAGAUGCCCAGGGUGGCGUGGGGGACGCUGCCACGACCCGCUCAGGAUUUUUUAAAAUCGAGGUUGUCCUGUUCCUUCCUCACCUUGUUUGGUGAGGCCCUCCACCAGACAGAAGAACUGCGUCCGGGGAGAGUAGACUGGCUCCCAGGCCCAAGGCAUCCUGGGAAGGAGGAAGGAGAAGAACCCAUGAGGCCGAGGGCGGCUGUGGGGACGACGGCUGGGCGCCUCCGCCUCCCCUCCCCCAGGCUGGAACCCCCACCCCAGCUGCUCCGGGCACCAGCUCCCAGCCUGCGGGGCUGUGGGGAGAGGACCGCCAGCCUGGGGUUUCCAGCUUUCUGGGAAAAAAGUCAACAUCCACUAUGGAUCUGGUCUGGCCCCCUCCCGUGUCCACUGUCCUCCCCCAGGUCCCCCGACCCUGGUAGGACCCCUCCCCACCCAUGUCCAGGGCGGAGGGAGGGUCACAGUGGGCGGGCAGGGGUUAAUUCCUGGAGCCGGCGUGCUCCUCCCACCCCUGGACGAUCUGUCUCUGUCCUCAGCCAUUGGUGACCUUUU